rnacentral:pre_miRNA from 1 species
AGGAGGAACAACCGCAGUGGCGGGGCCCGCUCUGUAGCCCUAGAUUCAGCUCCUGCAGUAACUCCGGAGCUCUCCGUCUGCAGGGCCUGGAGGCUCCGGGGCGGG